rnacentral:misc_RNA from 1 species
CUCUUUGCUUUUUCUUUCGAAGUCUCUUGUUUAUAUCCGCUCUGACUGUAAGCACCUCCACAGAAAAGCAAGCGCUGCCGCCUGCCGUUAGAUCCGCCAUCGCCGUUCAUCACCUCAGCUUGUCGUGUUGCUUCCGUGUGCGUUUGCGUGUGUGUACGUGCUUCUCCCGCCCGCCUCAUUCCAACGCGCCUCCACCACCUUCCUUCCCCUCCUCAUCCGUUCCUGCUACUCCUGCUGCUGCUGCUGCUGCGCCCUCGCGCGCGCGCAUCGAACCUGUUCGGGCACGCACCAACACACAAGCAUACGUUGCAGCCGUCGAGCUCGCUGUGACGCAGCAGCAUAAACGGCGCACGUCUGCUCUCCAGCGCUCUUGUCUCCUCUUCCUCUUCUCAAAGCCUCCGCGCAGCGUUGCAUCGGCGCUGAGGAGCGGGCACGCGCGCACACACGCUCUCUCAGGCAUUUACGAGUCCUGCUGUGAGCGUGACAGCUGCAUCAGCAGCAGACGUAAGCGUUGCAGCAGCUUCAACAGCGACCGCAAUCGCCACCACCACUGCUACACUCAUUCUUGUUCCCUUCUGGGUAGAUUGCCCCACCCACUCUUUGCGGAUGUAGACGUGUAGACGCGUGCGUGCGUGCGUGUAUACAUAUAUAUAUAUGUGUGUGUGUGUGUGUGUUUCCGGUUUCCAAUCGUUUCUUCUGCCCGCAGCACUACUCUCUGUGCAGCACCCCACCACCACCACCUCCCCUUGGUCUGAAGUCGCUUGGCUGAUGGACGGACGUGUGUCUGGGCCUGUGUGCAUUUCUGUUUCACCACCCUUUGUUUUAUUAUUAUUUUGCAUCGCGAGAGACUUUCUCUGCUGCUGGCAUUGCGCCUUGGCCUCCCCCCUUGGCUUGCCAUCGCUUCCUUGCCCGCCACGCACACACGGGACGCAGACGCAUCUUCGUUGUCUCCCGUGACCGCAGUGCACGAACUGCCCGACGAGAGAAGAUGCUUACCGAGUCCUCCCUGAUGGAAGCAGACGGCGCCGUCUACGAGCCCUCCGCUGCCCACGGCAGCACCAGCGUGCACGCGCCUCACCACCACCACAAUAGCCAUCACCACACCCACACCUAUCAAGCGCAUCAGCAGCACAGCUCUGCCUCGCACCCGCACUCGUCGCCACUUGGUUUUCUCACGCAUGAUGUGGAAGAGGACCCGCCGCUGCACGAGCACACGACCAGCGUCAACCGUAGUUACUCAGACCUCCAUCAAGGUGCCUUCCUGUGCUACGCGUUCGGUCUGUGCGCGCUCCGCACGGCGCUUCAGCAUCCGAUGAACCUAGCUCUUGCUCGGAAGCAGACAAGCGCCGCAGCGAACACGAUGACUACAUGGGGCGUCCUCUCUCACAUCUUCGCGCACGAAGGACGGUGGCGCGGCCUUCUGCAGGGCAUCGGCUCCCUCUCGAUGGGCUGUGCACUCAGCGAGGUCAUCUACCUGUGCAUUUUUGAGUGGGGCCGCGAGCAGGUUCCCAUCGACGGCACCGCAACGCGCGACGCCAUCUCCGGGUACGCUGCCGACGUCAUGUGUCGCUCCGUGCACAUCCCACUUAGCAUAAUUGCGUACCGCCAGAUGACGGCGUCCCCGUCGCGGCGCAUGAACUCGUGGCGGACGCUGCAGCACAUGUACUCGGAGCGCGGCCUACGCACGGUGUUCGCCGGCUUCGGCACAACCCUAGUCGUCGGGUGCCAGUGGACAGCCAUAUGGUGGGCAAUGUAUGGUCGGCUGAAAAGCUUCCUCUACGACACCUCUGGGCCGCAUCUGCAGCGGCUCUCUGAGAAGAGCAAGGCGUCCCAGCGAGGGGGCGACGCAGCGGACAGUGGAUGGCGUCUGCCGAGCUGGUGCAUCUCCUCCGACGACAACGUCCUCAUCAACGGUGCUGCCUCCGUCACGACGAGCGCGGCUACCGCGGUGCUCUUCAAUCCCUAUCUGGUAGUGCGAACAAAUCUGCAGGUGACCCCCGGAGCUACGCUGUGGUCCGUGACUCGGCAGCUGCACCGCAGGCGCGGCUUCCGCGGCUUCUACAGCGGGCUGCUGCUGAGCGUGAACGCGUGUGUUGUGGACGGUGUCUUGGCGUCGACCAGUUACGAGUAUGCGAAGCUGUGGGCCGACCGCACCCGGGAUGGCCAUGCCAGAUAAGCGUGCGCACCGGCAUGCACACAAGGGAACAGAAAAUGAAAAUAGAGGGGGCAAGCAAGAGAGCGAGGCACGUGGGCGGAGGGCCCCUUCCUCCUACUGAACUCCUCGCCAGCAUAGAUAAAACAUGCACUGCUUAUACGCGCUACACGUGAUGGGCUAGUGUAUUGUAGGUGUGUGUGUGUGCGAUGCUGUCCUCGUUGAUUUCCUGCUCUGGAGGGUGAGACGGGCUCGAGGAGCAGCACACGAGGACAUCCCGUGGUGAAGAGGGGGGCGCGUACUGGGCAGGGGGUCCCGAACGACGAACUCUCGCUCACUUGCGCGCUCUCUUCAUUGCCUCCUCUCUCCACUGCCUACGUGGCCAUGCCCAACACGUUUGGUGGCACUACCCAUCACAGGCUUGAAAGAGAUGGAGAAUGGAGCCCAUCAACCCCGAUAAAGCGCCUCACCCCCCCCCGCCUCCCUCCUUCUCUGUCUCUCCCUCUCUUUCCCUCACUGACCUCACCCUGGCGAGGGCAGGAACUCUUCACUUUUAAGGAGGAAGGGAGAGAGGCGGGAGAGAUCGGCUCGCAGAGAGAUGCGCGAGGUUUGCGUAUGUGUGUGUGUGUAUGUGUGUAUGCGCGCCCGUGAGCGUCGUAGCGGUUGGAACUCCAUCGAGAUUGAACUUGUUUGCCUCCCUCGUUGUGUGUCGCCGGUGCACUUCUCUCCCCUCCCCCUCCCUUGUCCACUCGCCCUCUCCGCGUCUCAGUCGCUCCCAUGCGUCUGUGUACCCCUUGGCCCUUGUGGCUGUAUGCUUGCCUGGCCCAUGCAUGUAAGUGCAGAGGCCGCCUCCGGCUCGCCCUCUCUUCUCUCCGCCUAUUGGGAGGAGUGAGGGCGCUUCUCUGCCCGUGUGAAGGCGCAACACACGCACACAAGAUAGACAACGCGGGAAGCGGAGCAGCAUCAUCCUCACCGUCGUCAUGGCUGCCGUUCGCGCUCGGUGUCGUGGUGGUGCUCGUGCGCGAUGGUCAGCCAAUACACACUUGUCCAAGAGAAAAGUGGUUGGCGCCCUUUCGCAAAUGCAUGUGAGACGUGGCCCGGCGUGGUCCAUCUCCGCGUAUCGUCAUCGCCGCAUUAUGCCCUCCACCGCCAUCACCACCACCCUCGUCGUCGCCGUGCAGGACGCAUGUGUGGGAAUGGCCA